rnacentral:tRNA from 14 species
UUGUCGCCGGUGUUGGGCUCCGCCUUCAAAUCCAGG